CUGGCUCAGGAUGAACGCUGGCGGCGUGCUUAACACAUGCAAGUCGAACGAUGAUCCGGUGCUUGCACCGGGGAUUAGUGGCGAACGGGUGAGUAACACGUGAGUAACCUGCCCUUGACUCUGGGAUAAGCCUGGGAAACUGGGUCUAAUACCGGAUAUGACUCCUCAUCGCAUGGUGGGGGGUGGAAAGCUUUUGUGGUUUUGGAUGGACUCGCGGCCUAUCAGCUUGUUGGUGAGGUAAUGGCUCACCAAGGCGACGACGGGUAGCCGGCCUGAGAGGGUGACCGGCCACACUGGGACUGAGACACGGCCCAGACUCCUACGGGAGGCAGCAGUGGGGAAUAUUGCACAAUGGGCGCAAGCCUGAUGCAGCGACGCCGCGUGAGGGAUGACGGCCUUCGGGUUGUAAACC
rnacentral:rRNA from 1 species